rnacentral:rRNA from 1 species
ACAAUACUGAGUGCAAACGGGUGAGUAUAAUGUGGGAAUCUGCCUUUUGGUUUGGAAUAACACGGGAAAACUUGUGCUAAUACCGAAUAAGCCCUUACGGGGAAAGUUUUAACGCCGAAAGAUGAGCCCGCACUUGAUUAGCUAGUUGGUAAGGUAAAAGCUUACCAAGGCAACGAUCAAUAGCUGUUCUUAGAGGAAGACCAGCCACAUUGGGACUGAGACACGGCCCAGACUCCUACGGGAGGCAGCAGUGGGGAAUCUUGCACAAUGGGGGAAACCCUGAUGCAGCGAUGCCGCGUGAGUGAAGAAGGCCCUUGGGUUGUAAAACUCUUUCGUCGGGGAAGAAAAUGACUGUUACCGAAUAAGAAGGUCCGGCUAACUUCGUGCCAGCAGCCGCGGUAAUACGAAGGGACCUAGCGUAGUUCGGAAUUACUGGGCUUAAAGAGCUCGUAGGUGGUUAAAAAAGUUGAUGGUGA